UGGGUACCUACUCUUAACCCUUAGAGGAUUAUUUUACAACACAAUUUAAAACCGGGAGAAUAUAGUCUUUCCAGUGAUAGCAAAAGUGUACAUAUACGACGGAAUCUCCUCUGGGUGAAUUUUGUCACCUUAUAUUUCACCUGUAAUUGAGUAAAAGAACCAAAUCAAGUUUUCGUUUUCACCGUCCGCGUUCCAGCACUUCCUACUUCCUGUCACAGGCAUUUCCGAAUGAGAAUAGCGACAUCAUCACCAAAGCUAAGUUUUACAGCUGAAAUACCUUCAUAAUCCUCCAUAUUUCCCCCUAUAAUUUUGUCAAGAGUUUCGUUUAGACGGAUAUCCAGUUUCUGACCAAAGGCAGUCGGAAAUUUGCGAAUAACCAUUCCAGGGUGGUUGUGUAAAAAAUAAAUAAAUGCACAAAUUCUAAUGAAUUCUGCCAUUUUUUUUGUCAGCCAUGCUUCGUGUCACUGUAAAAAAAAAAAAGGAUAUUUCUAGAAUAAGCACACUCUAGAUUAAUCAUUAAAGAUAUUUAUACUUAUAUGGGUAACACUUUACAAUAACAGCCCAUGAACAAUCCUGCACUAACACCUGAAUUAAUACUUACUUAAAUAUGAGCUAAUGACGAGUUAAGGCAUGUACUAAUCCCGAACUAACCUUAACUACGACGUGAAUUCAUGCGUGCAUAACGACCACCUUAGUACCUUAAGUGCGUGUUUAUUAGUUAAUUUAUCGUUGUUUAUUAUCAGUGCAUGUUUUCUACGUUCGAUAAACAGGAUCGAUGUAAAUUAUGGAAGCAAUCCAACGCCACCCGGCGAUGUUUUGCGUACGCAGCUGCAUACGGGAAAUAUUAUAAACAAUUUGAAAUUGAUGCGCGUUUAAUUCAUAUUCUUUCUUAUAGAGUGUGUUGAUUUAAUUUAAACGUAUAUGUUAAUUAAUACAGUACAUUACCUCACAAACAUGUACUAACGUGCUUAAGGUGGUCGUAGUUAAGGUUAGCUCUUCAUUAGUUCGGGAUUAGUGCAUGCCUUAACUCAUCAUUUGUUCAUAUUUAAGUAAGUAUUAAUUCAGGUGUUAGUUCAUGAUUAUUCACGUGCUGUUAUUGUAAAGUGUUACAUUUAUAUGUUAGUCUCUUUAAGAAAACCAGUGUCCAAACUACUCUAGUGUCUCCAUAUGCUUAAGCCCAAAUUCUGACUAACAGCACGUUAUUCCUUUCUGCUUAUUUUCACAAAGGGUGCCAAUAAUUCCAGGAGUUAAAUAUACCAUAUAUAUAUAUAUAUAUAAUACCAGCGCUGAACAUUCCACACCCAUACAUGCAUACAAACAAGUUGAAAAACUGGAACAAAUGUUUUGGAGAAGUUCCCUGGCUGGAACAGUAGUGGGUUUUAUUUCCCACUGACCCGUCGGGAGUGUGAUCACUCAGCUACCGACUGACAGAGCGAGA
ensembl:lncRNA